rfam:Fukomys damarensis contig104151, whole genome shotgun sequence.
AAAACUGUACUGGCAGGGGUCAUUUCGAGAGUUCAUUACCGGAGAAGUUUCCCUGAAACUGGAGAGCUCUGGAGAGCACCACGCAAGGAGGAAGUGCUCUCCAUCUGAGUGAGACACCGGCUCUUCGGGUUCGUCACUGGGGCUGGCAUCUGCCACUGAUGAAUGUGCUUCUCUCCUUUAAGCAGAGGCAGAGAAGCAGAGAGGGAGAAUGCCCGAGUGCA